GUGCUCGCUUCGGCAGCACAUAUACUAAAACUGGAACGAGACAGGGAAGAUUAACAUGGCCCCUGAGCAAGGAUGACAUGCAAAUUCGUGAAGCGUUCCAUAUUGUU
ensembl:snRNA U6 U6 spliceosomal RNA